rnacentral:lncRNA from 1 species
ACAAAGCCUUUGCAUGGCACUGUGCUUCAUCCCUUGUUGCUCAAGUUGCAGGUGGUCUCCCCCUCCAACUUGUGGGGGGGUGUUGAGAUGAGAGAUUAUAUGGCUUCCAAGCCAAAGCAUAAGUGACAUAAACUUGUAUAUCCAUUGUAUAUUCAUUGUAUAUUUACUGUAUACUCAUGGUAUACCUUGUAAUGGGCUAUGAUGAUUGAUGCUGCUGGACUGUGUAUCUGAGCCCACAUUUAUUUAGUUUUGGGCCGGCUCACCCGACCCGACCCAAUAGUGAAUUGUAUAUAUAGUAUCGGGGCAGAUAUUUUUACACAC